rnacentral:rRNA from 1 species
AUGAAUAUCCUAAGCUGGAACUGCCGAGGGGGUGGGAACUCUCGGACAGUUCGUGAUCUUGUGAGUCUGGUGCAGGCUCAGUCCCCUAGUAUUGUUUUUCUUUGUGAGACUAGGCAGUCUAAGAAUAAAAUGAAGAGGUACCAUGCUCGGUUAGGUUUAAGAGGUUUUGAUGCUUUCGAUUGUGUGGGUCGUAGUGGAGGUCUUGCUUUGUAUUGGCAUGAGUCA